rnacentral:lncRNA from 10 species
CAGAAUGUGAGCUCCAGGAGGACACGACCCUCCCUGUUUCCUUGUUCCCUGCUGUGUCCCAGUACCAAGCACAGUGUCUGAUAUACACCUAGGACGUGAGGCUGCCAAGCUUGGUAUUCAAUAAAUAUUGAUGGAUGAAGGAACAAUGGAAGAAAGGAGUGCAUGGGUAAACAAAUGACAAAUAUGUCAAAGCACGGAUGCAGAUUCUUAGAAUGGGCUAAUGCUGUUUUCUGCUGGAUUUUUGGAUGUGUACAAACGAGUUCUCUCACAAUACAGAUCCACAGUGUCUGGGUCAGAGGAGAACUGAUGCUCCGCAUGGCAUUUUACCAUCCUGCCUGCCUGCCUGGGGCCCUGGGCCCACAGGCUUUGGGGAGAGUGUAUGGCCAGGCUGCAGCCUUCCUGGGAUAAAGCUCUGCCUUUUAGUCUCUUAUCCUACUUUUUAGAAGCCCUUUAAGGUCUUUGUUAAAGGAAAUCUAAUGUGAAGAAUUCCAGGAGAACUGGAUAAGCCUGACUAUGGGUGGGCGUGACUGAAUUACUUCCCGGGCUGGCUAAGGAAGGCCUCCCCCGAAGUGCAUCGGAAGCCUGCAGCUUCUCCUUAUGGCCACUGGAGGGCACUUGGACCAUGAAAUACCAGAUCGUCUCGGCGUCCCAGGUCUUUGGAAAUGUGUGAUUCAAUUCAGCAAACGUUUCAAAAUCAUCACUAUAAAGAUAGCGCUUUUGUGUUGAACAUCCAAUAUGGCGCUAAACACCUUAUAUAUAUGUGUGCGUGUAUAUAUGAACUUGCUUAAUAUUAACUACAAUUGUUGUGAGUUACUUAGGCUAUUUAGG